AAAGCCGUAGCGGACACGUCCGUUGAUACGUGCGCUAAAAACCCAACUCUUUGUGAGGUGGACGCCAGUUUUAGUGGCGGGUUUAUUUUCUGCUAGGUAGCUGUAAUGACAGAAUUUGGUUUUGAAAGUGAUGCGUCCCAAGAGGAAAGUUUUCUUUAGUUUUCGAAGAUCGUAUCAAGAAUGUAUUUUCACUAAACGGAAGAAAUAUUGGAUAGAAAAUGGAGAAACCCGAAAAAAAUCUACAUAGACAUCAAAGACGAUAGACUGAAAACAGGAAGGGGGUACCUUUUAUAUUUCUAGACUUGUAAUAAAAAACUAUAAGCUACCAACAAA